rnacentral:rRNA from 1 species
CGCGUAGGUGGUUUGUUAAGUUGGAUGUGAAAGCCCCGGGCUCAACCUGGGAAUUGCAUCCAAAACUGGCAAGCUAGAGUACGGUAGAGGGUGGUGGAAUUUCCUGUGUAGCGGUGAAAUGCGUAGAUAUAGGAAGGAACACCAGUGGCGAAGGCGACCACCUGGACUGAUACUGACACUGAGGUGCGAAAGCGUGGGGAGCAAACA